rnacentral:lncRNA from 1 species
GUCAUAUAUUUCUGAGGUAGGAUGAUAGAUAAACAUACAUCAUAAGAAAUGAUACAUCAAAUGUAUUGUUUUUGAAAAUAAAUUCAUGACACAAGCACGACAAGUCAGAGAUGCAGACGUGUUUAUAUGGCGCUUAUAACCAUAUAGGUGCUAAAUAAAUUAAUACACAAAUAGGUAAAUACUAAGAAAAUAUCACGAACAGAACGUCCAGGAGAUUUAAAAGCAGCUAUAAAGUUGUUUUUUUUUUUAAAGAAAGAACAAUAUACCUUUAAACACUAUCAUUUAUGUUGUAUAACUUAAAACAGGUUUUGUGAUUCAGUUUGUUUAUAUUGAGUUAAAUGAUGAUGUCGUUAAGUGAUUCGUGUUUACUGGCGAAUAAUUAUACAGUUAUGUCAUUAUCACUG